UAGAGAUCUCAUGAAGCUCAUGAACUUUUGUAAUUGUACGAUUCGUGCGCAGUGGAAAGACGUAAAAUCGCAAUUCGUCGGAGAAGUAUAUCAACACUUAUUAAAAAUUUAAAAUGGGGAAGAUUAUGAAGGCAAACAAAGUUGUGUUGGUCUUGAGUGGCCAAUAUGCUGGAAAGAAAGCAAUUGUAAUGAGGAACUUUGAUGAUGGUAUGCCUGAUACGCAGUAUAGGCAUGUACUGCUGGCAGCUAAUGACUGAUAUCCAACAGAAGUCCAUAAAAGGAUGGGAAAUGCAAAAGUACACAGGGCUUCAAAAAUUAAGCCAUUUGUGAAGAUGAUAUGGGUGGAGAACUUCGGAAUGUAAGGACAGUGCACUUUGAGAAACACUGAAAAUUAUUUAUUUUGUAAUGCUACAUUUUUAAGGUUGACAUUGCCUUUUUUUAUUGUGACAACCCCUCUUACUGCUGUGGGCUUACAAUACUCUGAGCCAUAUUCUGGUUUAAGACUAAGCAUCAGAAAGUCACAGUGAACUACAGGGAAUUGAGAUUCACUUCUGGCCGUGUUAACAUGUGCCAUAUAUUCAUGAUGUGUAAAGGUGAUAUGUUGCAAGAAUACUGGCCAGUGAGUGUGGGUGGAAUCUUGUGAAACAGACGGGAAUGGAAGUUAAUCAGUGACUGUAGCGCAUUGGAAAGGGAAACCUGUGUUGCUAUAAUGUGUGGGGAAGGUGACACACUGGCACUGCCUCUCUGUAAACUGAAUUUUUUCCAUGAUUUUAGAUAUUAAUGUGUAUUGCAUAGUGUUUGAGAAGAGGGUGUGCUGAGGAGAAUAUUUGGACCGAAGAGGGAUGAAGUGACAGGAGG